AACUGGGCUGCCUUCUCCGGUGAGAAGGCAGCCCACUGUGUGGGCUGCCUUCUCCGGCGAGAAGGCGACCCACACAGUGGGCUGCCUUCUCGCCGGAGAAGGCAGCCCAGUUG
rnacentral:pre_miRNA from 1 species